rnacentral:lncRNA from 1 species
CGGAGCCGGAGAGGGAGAGGUGGGUCACGUUGAGCUCGAGCUGACCGCGGUGGGUGAAGCCGAACUCGUCGAGGAGGAUUAAGGGCCGGCCAUCGGAUCGGGUCUCGGUGGACCGGAUCUCGGCCGCGGCGAGGGCGGCGGAGGCCAGAAGGAUUAGGAGGAGGAGAGGGAGAGACAUUUUAGAGUCGGGUAGGGUCGGAUCUCACUCUCUCGGUCUCGGGUCGAGUGGAGUGAAGAAAAGGGGGAAAGGAAAUGGUUUGAGAUUUCUUGCUUUGGGGUUUUAUUCAAUCGCCCUUCCUCAAGGAAUUUAGCGCAUGUCGGCCUUGCCGAAGCUUCCUAGAAAUUUAUAAGGAUUAAGUAAGG